UUCACCAUAUUCACGAUAUAAGAACUGUAUUGUGUCUUAUUAGGCUUAUCAAUCACUGUUAGGACGAGGGUUCGACUCCCUCCAGCUCCACGGUCAGAAGCAUAGAGGUUCGACUCCUCUUGGCAAGGGUAUAAACCACUCCUAGGUUAAGAGCCGCAAAGCUUCCAAGCAGGUGUGAAGCCUGCAUUAGGGGCUGCUUGGAUUUGACUGGCAAUUAGAGAGAUAAGAUAGGUUCGUUGUGUGUUUAAAUGGCAAUAAUUUUGUCACAGACUAUACUCAACUAGCAGUUGCGUAAAGUCACGUGCUAACUACGAAAGUGAGGGAUAUCUAUAGUUUAAUGGUAGAACACUGAUUGUUCAGUAGUGUAGGUUCGAAUCCUACUAGAU
rnacentral:tmRNA from 1 species